rnacentral:lncRNA from 1 species
CUUCCAGGUUUACUCGUUUAUGUGCAUAGAGUUGUUUGUAAUAUUCUCUGAUGAUGGUUUGAAUUUCUGUGGAAUCUGUGGUGAUUUCCCCUUUAUCAUUUUUUAUUGCAUCUAUUUGGUUGUUCUCUCUUUUAUUUUUAAUCAAUCUGGCUAGUGGUCUGUCUAUUUUGUUGAUCUUUUCAAAAAACCAGCUCUUGGAUUUAUUGACUUUUUGAAGGGUUUUUCGUGUCUCAGUCUCCUUCAGCACAGCUCUGAUCUUAGUAAUUUCUUGUCUUCUGCUGGGUUUUGAGUUUUUUUUAUCUUGCUCCUCUAGCUCUUUCAAUUUUGACGAUAGGGUGUCAAUUUUGGAUCUCUCCAUUCUCCUAAUAUGGGCACUUAUUGCUAUAUACUUUCCUCUAGAGACUGCUUUAAAUGUGUCCCAGAGGUUCUGGCACAUUGUGUCUUCAUUCUCAUUGGUUUCGAAGAACUUCUUUAUUUCUGCCUUCAUUUCGUUGUUUACCCAGUCAACAUUCAAGAGCCAGUUGUUCAGUUUCCAUGAAGCUGUGCGGUUCUGGGCAAACAAGAUAUCAUCUUAGAUGAUAUAUCCCAUGUCUGACUUAUCCUUAGAUACGUCAGAGUAUAUCUAAGUGUGUACAGACAUGAGCAGCAUUUCAAAGACAGAUCGGAAGGGUGUGAUGACAGAUUUAAGACUUAAGGCCAUGAACAGAAUGUCAGAGCACUCUCAAGUAUCACCUCUGGGUUCUCAAUUAUGAUGUCAGUUGAGACUCUUGACAAAUCAGGUGCCUGAAUGUAUUUUCCCUCCUAGUUGCCCACAGCUCAUGGUGGUAAGACUUCAGAAUUACGUAAAACUUGCAGUGAGAUCUUCCUCUAGGUUUGAUGUCAUCUGCAGAUGGAGGUCUAAGCAGAAAACACAAGCAUAGUGACUGUAUCAGCUCAGGUUUGUGUGAGGGCUUAUCAUCUGCUUAAGUCUCAAUUAGAAAGUAAUUUUUGUUUCCUUUCCAAAGCUUUUCUAGAACGCCGAAUUAACAUAGCU